rnacentral:rRNA from 1 species
GACGAACGCUGGCGGCGUGCUUAACACAUGCAAGUCGAACGCUGAAGCUUGGUGCUUGCACUGGGUGGAUGAGUGGCGAACGGGUGAGUAAUACGUGAGUAACCUGCCCUUGACUCUGGGAUAAGCCUGGGAAACUGGGUCUAAUACUGGAUACGACAUGUCACCGCAUGGUGGUGUGUGGAAAGGGUUUUACUGGUUUUGGAUGGGCUCACGGCCUAUCAGCUUGUUGGUGGGGUAAUGGCUCACCAAGGCGACGACGGGUAGCCGGCCUGAGAGGGUGACCGGCCACCCUGGGACUGAGACACCGCCCAGACUCCUACGGGAGGCAGCAGUGGGGAAUAUUGCACAAUGGGCGGAAGCCUGAUGCAGCGACGCCGCGUGAGGGAUGACGGCCUUCGGGUUGUAAACCUCUUUCAGCACGGAAGAAGCGAAAGUGACGGUACGUGCAGAAGAAGCGCCGGCUAACUACGUG